rnacentral:lncRNA from 1 species
UUUCUUUCUGGAAUCAUUUUGUAAUUAGUUCUACUAUUGCCUUCUAAAGAGGAAAGAUUCUUACCAAAGUUGGAUCUUUGUCUGGCCCUUAUAAGCAUUCAGAUGUGCUGGGCCCCGAAGAUCCUGCUAUUUACAGAAAAGCACAAACCCAACAAUGAAAGCUGAAAAACCACGGGCAUAGCCUGAAGGCUGCGCCCCCAACUACUGCCUCUCAGUGUCCUAGCAGAGAAGCCCCGGCGCGAGACUGCAAGCCACUGCAGGCUGCAGAGAAAGCAGCUCCCUCCCGGCUCUGGCAGCGAAGAGAAGGCUCCCGUCUCCCGUCUCCCGCAAGGGAGAGAAAUCUGUCCAUCCCAGCAGCCACCCAGCUCACCCCAAAUGAUCAGACCACCUAAGCUUCCAAAACAACCCGGGUGGUGGCGGGGCGAAGGAAACAUGUGGCUGUCGUGAGCUUUCCUGGAACAUCAUCUGUCUCUAAGUUUCCAGUGCUCACUGAGGUCAGUUUUCCUUUCUGCAAAUCACAGGCAGCCACUUGCUUCUAAGAAGUUAACAAGCCUCCUGAGAAAUGCUGGUGGCUGACAUUUCAUUGUUUCAAAAAUAUUUUUAAACAGUGACACCACUCAACUUUAAUCUUCAAAAAGAAAGACGAUUUUUAAAAAGUGGCAAACUCUGAUGUGGAUUUUAUUUUCGUGGACGCAAUCUAAGGAAAAAGGAAAAGAAGACCCAAGCUGUGAACAACAGAAACCCCUCCAGGAAUGUCCUUGCCUGCCAAGGUGGAAUGCUACCUCCUGCACCGGCUCCGGUGGCCCAGGGCCGGAGCCACAGGGUUUACUGGGACCUGAGCCAUGCUGGGACCUAGAGCCCGGGAAACCAAGAAUCACUUUCCUCUUCCCUGUUUUGUUUUGUUCAACUUCAAUAUACAUGAAAGUAUGGACAGCUAUUUUGAAGAGAAUGAGACACUCUACGCCAGCCAUUAGUGACUUCCUGUUGUCUGGUUUUGAAGACCUAAAACGCCUUCCUCAUUCUGUUCAGAUCAGUUUUAUACUAGGUUGUUUUGUAUGAAUUCUCUGUAUGUGAAGUCAUGGACAACUAUUUGGAAGACAACAAGAGACAAUAUGAUAGUGAAGAUCUCAGGUCGUCUAGCUUUGAAAUGUAUAUCUCUUACAUUGCUUUCUUAUGUCUUAUUUUGUUCAUUUUGCUGUAUUUAAUUUUACC